rnacentral:rRNA from 1 species
GACGAACGCUGGCGGCGUGCCUAACACAUGCAAGUCGUGCGAGAAAGUUCCUUCGGGAGCGAGUAAAGCGGCGCACGGGUGAGUAACACGUAGGUAACCUGCCCCCCAGUCUGGAACAACUAGAGGAAACUCUAGCUAAUGCCGGAUGAGACCACGAUCCCUUCGGGGGUUGCGGCCAAAGAUGGCCUCUACUUGUAAGCUAUCGCUGAGGGAUGGGCCUGCGGGCCAUUAGCUUGUUGGUGAGGUAACGGCUCACCAAGGCUGUGAUGGCUAGCUGGUCUGAGAGGAUGACCAGCCACACUGGGACUGAGACACGGCCCAGACUCCUACGGGAGGCAGCAGUGGGGAAUAUUGCGCAAUGGGCGAAAGCCUGACGCAGCGACGCCGCGUGGGUGAUGAAGGCCUCGGUCGUAAAGCCCUGUCGCAGGGA